AACGAACGCUGGCGGCAGGCUUAACACAUGCAAGUCGAGCGCAUCCUUCGGGGUGAGCGGCGGACGGGUGAGUAACGCGUGGGAACGUGCCCUCUUCUACGGAAUAGCCUCGGGAAACUGAGAGUAAUGCCGUAUACGCCCGCAAGGGGAAAGAUUUAUCGGAGGAGGAUCGGCCCGCGUUGGAUUAGGUAGUUGGUGGGGUAACGGCCUACCAAGCCGACGAUCCAUAGCUGGUUUGAGAGGAUGAUCAGCCACACUGGGACUGAGACACGGCCCAGACUCCUACGGGAGGGAGGAGUGGGGAAUCUUGGAAAAUGGGGGCAACCCUGAUCCAGCCAUGCCGCGUGAUCGAUGAAGGCCUUAGGGUUGUAAAGAUCUUUCAGCUGGGAAGAUAAUGACGGUACCAGCAGAAGAAGCCCCGGCUAACUCCGUG
rnacentral:rRNA from 1 species